rnacentral:Y_RNA from 1 species
AGUUGGUUGGAACGCAGUGGUGUUUACAACUAAUUAAAAUUAAUCACAACCAGUUACAGAUUCCUUUGUUCCUUCUCCACUCCCACUGCUUUACCUGACCAGUCUUUA